rnacentral:rRNA from 1 species
GAGGCAGCAGUGGGGAAUAUUGGACAAUGGGCGAAAGCCUGAUCCACCCAUGCCGCGUGUGUGAAAAAGGUCUUCGGAUUGUAAAGCACUUUAAGUUGGGAGGAAGGGCAGUAAGUUAAUACCUUGCUGUUUUGACGUUACCGACAGAAUAAGCACCGGCUAACUCUGUGCCAGCAGCCGCGGUAAUACAGAGGGUGCAAGCGUUAAUCGAAAUUACUGGGCGUAAAGCGCGCGUACGUGGUUUGUUAAGUUGGAUGUGAAAGCCCCGGGCUCAACCUGGGAACUG